AACGCACGAGACCUGCGGACCUGCGGAGGGAUCAUUAGUGAACGCCCUCACGGGCUUAUAACUAUUCCAAACCUCUGUGAACCGUGCCCUUCGGGGCUAUUUUACAAACAUGGUGUUAUGAACGUCAUAUAUCAUAACAAAACAAAACUUUCAACAACGGAUCUCU
rnacentral:misc_RNA from 1 species